UGCCAUUCCAGCAUGAUGAUGCAAGAGGACGGUGGUUGAACCAAUUUGCAAGUAGCCUAUCAAUAAGCAUGUUAUUUUUCAAUGUAUUAAGUAUUUCAGUGUGCAGUCAAUUGAGGGGGGGACUAUGUUUCAUGAAGCCAUUAGAAGACUGUUGCAGACUUAGGAAUAACCCAGAACUAUCAGAGGCAGAGGAUCUCUCUUUCAGCUGCUGUUGACAACAACUGCAUUCAGGCAACAACCCAUUCUGUACUGGCGGAAGGUAGCCCAGCGGCUAAGGAUUUGGACAUGUGGCAGGAGUUGGACCUGUGGCCGAAAGGUGGCCAUGUUCGAAUCCCGGGCUGGGCGCUGGAAGAAACGGGCGGAAUUGAUCUGACAACUGGAGGGCUGCUGGGUUCACAAUAUUCCCCUACCGUUGGGCCCUUGAGCAAGGCCCUUAACCUCACAACAUGCUCUCCAUCCAGGGGUGCUGCACUGCAGUUUGAACCUGUGCUCGUCUUAACUGUAUGUGUGAGUUCUGCUGUUUGGAGGGGUUGAGAACAGAGCAGAAGCCACAUGUUUGUUGUUUGCUGAAACUAAUGGACAAAGUUGUAUUGUAAAGAAGUCAGCCAGAGUUGA